rnacentral:rRNA from 1 species
GAUGAACGCUGGCGGCGUGCUUAACACAUGCAAGUCGAACGGUGAACGAGGGAGCUUGCUCCCUCCGGAUCAGUGGCGAACGGGUGAGUAACACGUGAGCAAUCUGCCCUGGACUCUGGGAUAAGCGUUGGACACGACGUCUAAUACCGGAUACGAGACGCCAAGACAUCUUCAGCUGCUGGAAAGACCUUCGGUCCAGGAUGAGCUCGCGGCCUAUCCGGUAGUGGGUGAGGUAACGGCGCACCAAGCCUACGACGGGGAGCCGGCCAGAGGGGGUGACCGGCCACACUGGUACUGAGAAACGGCCCAGACUCCUACGGGAGGCAGCAGUGGGGAAUAUUGCACAAUGGGCGCAAGCCUGAUGCAGCAACGCCGCGGGAGGGACGACGGCCUUCGGGUUGUAAACCUCUUUUAGCAGGGAAGAAGCGAAAGUGACGGUACCUGCAGAAAAAGCACCGGCUAACUACGUGCCAGCCGCCGCCGUAAUAC